CCAGGCUCUGAGCUGUCAGCACAGAGCCCAAAGCCCGACGCGGGGCUCGAACCCACAAACCACCAGAUCAUGACCUGAGCCAAAGUCGGAGGCUUAACUGACUGAGCCACCCAGGCGCCCCUAUCAUUGUGUAUUUUACCUGUGAGACCUGGAAAGCAGGAAACCUAAUGUUAGGAUUGUAAACAGCAUGCCACGCCCAGCGUUAUGUGGUUUACUUCUAACUGUUCAAGCAGUGCUCACUGUUGGAUCGCAUCAAUAAAACCUUCAUAACAUUGGAUGAUUCACAACAGCCCAUGGGGAUCUGCAGGAUGAUAAGCCCAAACUGUUGCUAGGAGAAAGGCCCCUGGUGAGUGGAAAGAUGCCAGCUGGAAGCUUCAGCUCCACGGACACAACCACAGCCCCAGCAGUUUCUGCAGGGCUGGGGACACAGGCACCAAGGGAAUACUUCUCCCACUGCAUCUAUGAAGCCAUGGACAUGGGAGCCCAACCCAGAAUUGAAAUGGCUUCCUCAUUUCUGCUAAUCACUUAACUCACCCAGCAUUGGCAUGAUUGACUGUCUGGGUGUAUUUGAAGGAUCACCCGAAUACAAGCAAUUCCUAUCUAGGACUGAGUUGAGGUUCCCUAGCUGAAAUUCAGAUGAAAAGAUGAGAAUUGCAUUUGUUUCUUUAUACAUCCACUGUAUACAGAAAUACGACAUUUAUCAUAAUAUUCCAUGUAUUACAUUUGUAAUCUUAUCAAAGAAAUCUGGUUAAUUUAACUCGAUUUAUCAUCUCAGAGGGAAAUGCUGCCUCCUUCAUUUCAUGAUGUUCCCACCAAGGUGAAUACAGAAUGCACAUUUUAUUUUCUCAGCCUGAUGUUAAACUAAUUGACUUUAAUUUUCCUGGAGCUUUUUUGUCUUUCUCUCUUCAUUUGCCCUUCUCAAAUACUUUUUUAAAGAAGAAUCUCUGCUCCAAAAAUUAGUGAAAUGAAUUUAUGAUUCUGGCUCUCAACCUUCUGGUAUUGGUUUUACCCCUGUAAACUAGGUAACAGUGGCGGAAUGCUACAUGACGGCGUGAGCUCUUGGUCCCCUUCACUGCCUGUGAUCCUCCUGGAACUGCAUUCCUGGUGGUAAAAAUAGCCAGCGCUCUACAGCACUUACUAGGAUGGGGAAAUUGAGGUGUAGAAAAGUUCAGUGACUGACCGAAGUCAUACCAUGGGUAAGUAGGGAUUCAAACCCGGGUAGUCUAGCUGAGGUGUGCUCGUCACCAUGAGGGUUUACCUGGUAGGGGAGGUAAUGCCUCCUUGAAGUUAUUUAUGCUGUGAGAGGUGGUUGAUAUUGCCAAGAGAAAGUUGCUGCUGCUGGUGUGUGUGUGUGUGUGUGUGUGUGUGUGUGUGUGUGAUAAAAGCUUUACUUUGAAUA